rnacentral:lncRNA from 1 species
AUUCCACUGGCCAGAGGCAGUCUUGGGAGGAUUUGUGUUCUGGUUUAUUCAACUCUGGCAAAUGGUCACCGAGCCGGCAGUCAGCUUUCUGGGAGUGGGAGAUGAUGGGGAAAGAGGAAAGAAUCGUCCGCUCGCCGGACCCUGGCUUGGAGAAGUUCUGCGCUCCGCUGGGACUCUGCGGGCCCUUUGCGUCUACAGACCUAUCCCUGCCCCGACUACCCCUUCACUCAGACCCAGAAAGAUCCGCUAUGCCGCCACCCACCACUCCCCUGCGUGACACUUAGGAGUAUGUAAUUAUUAUGGUUAUUAUUUUUGCUGUUUCCUUAUCUCCAAGUCUAAUAUUCAUGGCUGCUGUACCCCAUAAAUCGUUCAGACUAAUGAGUCACAGAGAGA